rnacentral:rRNA from 1 species
AUUGAACGCUGGCGGCAUGCCUUACACAUGCAAGUCGAACGGCAGCACGGGAGCAAUCCUGGUGGCGAGUGGCGAACGGGUGAGUAAAGUAUCGGAAGGUGCCCAGUCGUGGGGGGGAACGUAGCGACAGGUACGCUAAUACAGCAUACGCACUAUGGCUGAAAGCGGGGGAGCGCAAGUCCGCCAGCGACUGGCGCGGCCGAUAUCAGAUUAGGUAGGUGGUGGGGGAAAGGCUCACCAAGCCGACGAUCUUUAGCUGGUCUGAGAGGACGACCAGCCACACUGGGACUGAGACACGGCCCAGACUCCUACGGGAGGCAGCAGUGGGGAAUUUUGGACAAUGGGCGAAAGCCUGAUCCAGCCAUGCCGCGUGUAGGAUGAAGGCCUUCGGGUUGUAAACUGCUUUUGUACGGAACGAAAAGGUUUGGCCUAAUAAGCUGAGCUAAUGACGGUACCGUAAGAAUAAGCACCGGCUAACUACGUGCCAGCCGCCGCCGUAA